rnacentral:tRNA from 1 species
GCCGAUGUGGCUCAGUGGUAGAGCUCUCGAUUCGUAAUCGAGCGAUCGCGGGUUCAAAUCCCGCCAUCGGCU